rnacentral:rRNA from 1 species
UGGGGAAUAUUGGACAAUGGGCGCAAGCCUGAUCCAGCCAUGCCGCGUGGGUGAAGAAGGCCUUCGGGUUGUAAAGCCCUUUUGUCCGGGAAGAAAGCGCCCUGGUGAACAGCCGGGGUGGAUGACGGUACCGGAAGAAUAAGCACCGGCUAACUUCGUGCCAGCAGCCGCGGUAAUACGAAGGGUGCAAGCGUUACUCGGAAUUACUGGGCGUAAAGCGUGCGUAGGCGGUUCGUUAAGUCAGAUGUGAAAGCCCCGGGCUCAACCUGGGAAUGGCAUUUGAUACUGGCGGGCUAGAGUACGGUAGAGGGUGGUGGAAUUCCCGGUGUAGCAGUGAAAUGCGUAGAGAUCGGGAGGAACAUCCGUGGCGAAGGCGGCCACCUGGACCAGUACUGACGCUGAGGCACGAAAGCGUGGGGAGCAAACA